rnacentral:rRNA from 1 species
UACGUAGGGAGCAAGCGUUGUCCGGAAUCAUUGGGCGUAAAGCGCGCGUAGGCGGCCUCGUAAGUCCGUUGUGAAAGUCAAGGCUCAACCUUUGAAAGCCGAUGGAUACUGUGAGGCUAGAGUCCGGAAGAGGCGAGUGGAAUCCUGGUGUAGCGGUGAAAUGCGCAGGAUAUCAAGGAGGAACACCGGUGGCGAAGGCGGGUCUCCUGGG